GGGGCUAUAGCUCAGCUGGGAGAGCGCUUGAAUGGCAUUCAAGAGGUCACCGGUUCGAUCCCGGUUAGCUCCACAAAAA
rnacentral:tRNA from 1 species